CACUGAGAUUUCUGGGCCCUCUCUUGCACCCGGCACAGCGCAAAGCCAGAUGCAAGUGUCUUUGCUAGUUUAAGACC